rnacentral:rRNA from 1 species
CCUACGGGCGACAGCAGUGAGGAAUAUUGGUCAAUGGACGAGAGUCUGAACCAGCCAAGUAGCGUGAAGGAUGACUGCCCUCUGGGUUGUAAACUUCUUUUAUAUGGGAAUAAAAUGUUCCACGUGUGGGAUUUUGUAUGUACCAUAUGAAUAAGGAUCGGCUAACUCCGUGCCAGCAGCCGCGGUAAUACGGAGGAUCCGAGCGUUCUCCGGGUUUAUUGGGUGUAAAGGGAGCGUAGGUGGAUUGUUAAGUCAGUUGUGAAAGUUUGCGGCUCAACCGUAAAAUUGCAGUUGAAACUGGCAGUCUGGAGUACAGUAGAGGUGGGCGGAAUUCGUGGUGUAGCGGUGAAAUGCUUAGAUAUCACGAAGAACUCCGAUUGCGAAGGCAGCUCACUGGACUGCAACUGACACUGAGGCUCGAAAGUGUGGGUAUCAAACAGGAUUAGAUACCCUUGUAGUC